rnacentral:rRNA from 1 species
UGGGGAAUCUUGGACAAUGGGGGCAACCCUGAUCCAGCGACGCCGCGUGGGUGACGAAGGCCUUCGGGUUGUAAAGCCCUUUCGCCGGGGACGAUGAUGACGGUACCCGGUAAAGAAGCACCGGCUAACUCCGUGCCAGCAGCCGCGGUAAGACGGAGGGUGCUAGCGUUGUUCGGAAUCACUGGGCGUAAAGGGCGCGUAGGCGGCCUGUUAAGUUGGAUGUGAAAGCCCGGGGCUCAACCUCGGAACGGCAUCCGAUACUGGCGGGCUCGAGACCGGGAGAGGAGGGUGGAAUACCCAGUGUAGAGGUGAAAUUCGUAGAUAUUGGGUGGAACACCGGUGGCGAAAGCGGCUCUCUGGCCCGGUUCUGACGCUGAGGCGCGAAAGCGUGGGGAGCAAACAGGAUUAGAUACCCCGGUAGUCC